rnacentral:ncRNA from 1 species
UACCUGGUUGAUCCUGCCAGUAGUCAUAUGCUUGUCUCAAAGAUUAAGCCAUGCAAGUCUAAGUACGAGCUCUCGUACG